rnacentral:sRNA from 1 species
GAGAGAAGAAGCGCUUCCUGUUACCAGAGCAACUGCAAAGCAAACCAGUGAACACUGUUUGAGCUCUCUGAGGCACGGGCCAUUCUCUUCUCAAAAUAUAACACCCAAGACGCGGAUCUUACUCCCACGCUGAUCAGUUAAAUCACCGGCUUUUGCUCCCGUACCCCAGGCUGACCCGUACUAUCUUUAAAGCUGAGGAAGGGCUUGAAUUCCCAAUCCUCCUGCCUCCAGCGCUCAAGUGCUGGGACUGUAGAUGUGUGCCGCCAUGACAGCUCUAUACUUAUUUAUUGGGAAACAGUCCUUAACCCUUUAUCAUGCAGAGCCGGCCUUUCUUAUGGAUUGCAACGACCUCUUCGCUUGCCUGCGAACUGUUUAUGUCUAGCUUUAGCAAGUAACGCAAAUGAAUCCCAAAGAAGCCCUCUCUUCCAGAGGGCACCCCACACUUAUCUAUAAAAUUGGGAAAAGUCAGUCACAGGGUAGAGACAAGAUAUGAAAGCAAAAAACAGGUUUCUGUAAUGAAAACAUCACACUGGUCAAAAUUGUUAAAAAUUGAUCAACUAACAAUAAGGGUUAAUGAAAAACAGACGUGCUUAGCGUGGCAGCGCUCUACAGCGGUGAUAGUCAAGAACCCCAACCAAGAGGCCUCUGGGAGGAAAACAAAACGUGGCUGUAAAAAGUAGAUGACUCGUGUUAGCUCUGGGACUGGACGUGACUGGUUAAAGUUCUAACUGCAAGGGAUGGCGGACUCUCCAUAAACAUCUCUGUCUUAGUUCACUGACGUCUGGACCACUGUGAGCAAAAGUUGUACGUUCUCACUGGCAAUGGCCACAAUAUGGUCUACCGUACAGCAAGAGAGAUGCUCUUGUGACUGGGCUCACAGACCUCUGACUGCUCCCCCACGUGAGGUCCAGAUACAGACCAGUUCCACAGACAUUGGAACUCUUGUCUACAGUUUGUAGGGCAAGAUUUAUGCUGCAAUGGAGACAAAAAGCUACCCCUUACUAGCAGCAGUUCUGCUGUGUGGCUGAGACCAGUCCUGAACUCACGAUCCUCCUGCCUCCUCCCCUCAAGUACUGGGGUUUCAGGCAGGUGCUACCUUGCCUGGAUGAAACAACUUAUGCCUUAGAAACGUAACCGGAGUAUUCUGUAUUUGACAUAUUUCAUGUUCUUUGGAGGGAAAGAAUCAGAUAAAUGCAAAAUGACAGCAUUAUAAAAUUUAGAAAGGAUUUGUGUAAUUUGCGAUAUUCAAAGGACUGCUUUGCUCCUGUCCCCAAAGCAUUCAGUGGCUAUGUUUCAUGUGAAAGUGGACUUUAAAAUAUUGAUUUACUGUGUAAGGCUAAUGGGUUAGAAUAUUGAAAGUACUAUGGAUUUUUCUGAAACAUUUGAGAUUUAAGUUCCCGGUGUGAAAAGCGGGUUUGUGUUGGCCACGGGCAACUGCUAGCAGGAGAGACCCAGUUAAAGUGUCAUUACCCUCCGGGUAGUCAUCUCUUAGUAGAAGAGCCCCAAGCUGAACUUUCACCACAGCAUUUUUAGCUAUGGGUUUUGGCAACCAAUGUGAUUGCUCUCCCAUCUACUGCGUAGAUGCACAUAAGCACAGUCACACCCAGAUGCACACACGUGUCCUUAAACUGUAGCUAGUCAUAAUACCUACCACUGGGAAAGUUCACUUACUGUCAACAAGAAGUUUGUCUAUUUUAAAGAAAACAGCGCUGGCAAGAGGUCUCAAUGGGUGGCUCCUGCCACCAAGUCUGAUGACCUGAGUUCAAUACCCAGGAAAGAGCCAACUCCCUGAAAGAUGUCCCCUGACCUCCACAUACACAUAUCAUAGCAUGGAGACACGCAAAAAAUAAAUGAGUGAUAAAGUAUAAUUUAAAAAUGUAAAGGAUACAUUUUGACUCAAAAUAUUGUUUUGCCAAAGACCAUGGAACAAAUGCACAACCAUGAGAGCAUGAACCGGCAGGCCAGGCCACCUAAAUAAGGCUUCACUCCCUAGUGCUCCAGGAGGGGGAUGUCGGGCUCAUCCAUAGUGCUCCUGGGGUGGGGGAAGGGACAGGGGAAGCUCAUCCAUAGUGAUCCUGGGGGGAGGUGGAGGGGGAAGCUCAUCCAUAGUGCUCCUGGGGGAGGGAGAACUCAUCCAUAGAGCUCCUGGGGGAAGGGGGGAGCUCAUCCCUAGUGCUCCUGGGGGGAGGGGUAGAGGAAGGGGGAAGCUAAUCCAUUGCCAUGUUAAGCAAUAUUUCUUUACUUGUAAAUUCAGAAUGAUACCUGUAACCCUGACUUUACAUCGUCAUUAGAAGGAUACAGACUUGCCACCUUUGAAGGGCACAGGAGCCCUAGCUGGCUAUUUGUGAAUUAAACCAGCAAGGGGGGGGGGCACUGCCAGUUCCAGGAAUCCUUCAGCAGAGACCUGCUGCCUGGUUGCUCUCUGUCCUGUGAGAGGAGCAGUGCAGACUUGGCUUGCAGAAGGGUGUAAACAUUAGCAAGGCACACAGAGGUUGCUUAAUUACAAUCUCAAUCCUUAACUACAGAACCCAGCAGCUCCAGGACAGAAGGAAAGUACCCACCUCCCUUAGCCAAGUGACAGCUCACACUUAGUGACUCUCAGAAUCAGGCAAGCUGCCUGUCUGUCAGGUUACAGACACUCAGGCCUGCUGGUGGCACCUGGUGGCACCUUCCUUUCAGGAUGUUAAGUCUGACAGCAACAGGCUCCUGCAGUAAAACCCAUAAUUUAAAACCAAGCGCUCUGUUUUGCCCGCAUGACAAGAAUAAACAAUGAAGGCAGGCAUGUGGAGUCACCUUGGGACCUUGACAGCAGCCAGUGUGGGUGUCCCUGCAGAACAUCUCUGGAGGCCAGCUCUGUGCUUAUGUAACCCCCAGGCUUUCUCCUGCCCUGCUGUAAUUGGAACCCGCUGUGGCUUUCCCAGUUGGUGGCUCUGGGAGGAGGGGGUUCUGUUUGGAUUUAAUGAUCUCCCCUUGGCCAGAAGGUGAGGCCUGGCUGCUGCUGGGAAGUGGAUGCCACAGAGCAGCCCAGGGAAAUGCCAGCAAGGUGUCCGCAGGCACAUGACCUUCAGGGGUUCCACAACUGCACAAGAGCUCUCAGAAAAGGGGGGACACUCAGAAGGGCAGAUGUUGGAGGGUCUGCUGGGGGUCUCACUGAAAGUGAAGCAAGGAAGGAGGCCUGGGUGCUUUCCGUGACUGCAGAAAAAUCCAGGUUAGGAUGUUUUUACUUUCUGGAUUAAGCCCCUGAGACUUGGCACGCUAUUUCUUAUGAGGUUUUUUUGGCUUUCUUUUUCUUUUCUCUUUCUCUUUUCUCAUCAUCGUACCUUGUUAUUUGGUCAACCUCACAGAAAAGGAGUCUGAGCAGGUGUCUGUUCUUCUUAAAAAAAAAAAAGACCAAGACCUCAUAUCAAAAAGGAAGCAAAGAGGGAAGUCAACUACAGACGGACAAGAGAAACACACAGGACAUUCUCAUUCUGGACUAUGGCACCAAGUGAAGCCACCAGCCAGGGGUGCUCAGUUUAUCCUAUGACCUUACGUUCUCCACCUCUGAGGAGUGUGCAAGCCUCUUCCCACCUCUGAGGGGAGACCGUCCGAGCCUCUCCUUGGAGAUGACAUUUUACACAGUGCGGCGCUGUGUGCCUGAAAGGAUUGCAAUCAAACGCACUCCCCUGGCAGACAGGAAGUUCAUAGCACGUGACAGCCAAGCCUUGCACAGCCUAGCCAUUUCCCACAGACUAUAAGCAGGGCCCGCCGGACACACCCAGUGAACCCUUUCUGUGUUGGCACCCCACCUACAAGGGGGCAUACAGUCGGACUGUUUUAUUGCUGGGAUAUUCCAAAUACCCCCAAGAUAUGAAAAUGAGCACCCAGAGAGACACUGUUUCCUGGCAUAGUGUUUGGUUGCACUGCUCAGCAUUUGUUCUGGGUCAUUAAAGGUCCCACUUCAUAUGCUGUAGGCCAACCCUACUCAUGGAAAUUAAUUAAAGAUCCUAGCAUUACCUCUAUGUCUGGACCAACGCCCUCCCGGAACAUGUUUUAUCUGCCUGUAAAUGGAGUUUCUGGUGUCAGCAGAUAGGUAGCACCUUAAGAAGCUCCCUCUUGUCUGCAGUCACAUUCCUCUCUAUGCGAUGCUUCCGAAAACAGGAGAAACAACUUACCUUCAUAGAAAACUGGACACACGUCCUCUCGUCAACUUGGUAUGAGACACAAAGCAUGAACAGUCCAAGGUAGGCCACCACGCAGACCUGCAGCAGGGGACGCAGGAAAGAAACAGGACUGGGUUACGAGGAUGCCAGCAACACACGGCUCAGUCAGUGUCUCCCACAGGGGCCAUCCCUGCUGCCGAACCUUUUCUCUUGCUCGUGACUUGUGUUUCUCUCAACCUGUGAGGCACAACUUUAAAGAUGCAUUUUCGCUACAUUUAACGGAGAGCGUGUUUGUGUGUGCAUGUGUGGGUAUAUGUACAUGAACAUAGUGUUCUCGGAGGCCUGGAGAUGGUGUCAGAUCCCUCAGAGCUGGCAUUGCAGGCAGCUGUAAACCAUCCAACAUGGGUGAGAAACUGCACGCAGUGCUGGGAUUAAAGACCUGGGCCACUACACCCAGCUCAGAUGACAUCUCUAAAGAGACACAUCAUGAGCACACUGGUCUGAAGAGAUGUGGAUGGGAACCAGAGCAGUUCUCAAGGAGGUGAUGCUGUACCACAGAAGACGUGAGUCCUGCUGUCCAGUACCACAUGGUGACUCUGGAUGAGACGGACACUGUGCACCUGUGUUUCUCAGUCAGGGAGCAGGUUAUUCUUGAAGGAACUUUUUAAAUUACUAUUUCACUGGUGUGAGUUACUAACACACAAUGGCAGGUCUCAUCAUGACGUUUUUAUACACACACAAUGGUAUUGCUCAAUCAUAUCACCCUCUACCCUCACUGCCCCCCAACUCCAGUGACACCCUCCUUUCUCUUCCCAACCAGCCCCGCUUCUAUUUCCAAUUCUUUAAAUACAUUUUUAAACAAGCCAAUGGAGCACCCGUUCACUCUGCAUCCUCACACGGAGGGCCUGAGGAACCAAAGCAAAGGAACAAAGGCCUUGUUUUGCUCGGCAGCGGCGAGCCAGACAGAACAUUCUGA